AUGGGGCUACCCCCCCUAAACCAUAUGUUAGGAACUCAAAAAUCACCUUAGUUUUUCAUGAAUCCUCACCAAUCUCUCAAAUCAUAAACAAAAAGUUUGAACAUCAAAACUUUAAAUCAAGAUUUCUCACUCAAUAUUGCAUCAUUUUAAAAACAAAACACAUCUACAUCAUCACCAUAGCAUGUAGUUUCAUUUAGGCAUAAG
rnacentral:lncRNA from 1 species